rnacentral:misc_RNA from 1 species
AGCCAUUAAAUCAUUAACAUCCAUUUUACGAUUUCCUUGCUCCUGUGUCGGUUCAGAAUUUGACCCAAAAAUAUCAAAUGGCUCUGGUCCAUUUUUAUUUGUUGUCAUAUGAUUCUCAUUAGUGCCUGGUUUACUGUCAACAGUCAUUCCAGAAAAGAGAUCAUCUACAUGUUCUCUACUCUCACUAGUGUGGAAUGAAACAUCUGCGAAGGGAUUAUCAUCAGUUUUUUGUUCUCUGGAGUUCCCACCAUCACCAUAAUUAUCUCCAAAUAGAUCAUCAAUUGAAUGACUUGUGGAUGUUGUCAGAUUUGCUGUGUUCUGAUCAAUUGGCUCCUUUGUAGAAUCAUUUGUUUCAAAGAAAUCAUUUGAAUCUCCCGUGUCUAUCAAGUCAGGCAUCUGAAAUGACAUGGUCUCAGCCUUNNNNNNNNNNNNUCCCAUCAAGCCACCUGCCCGUUCCCCGCACAAAAGGCUCAAUACCUUGAUAGAUUUUUCCCUUAGAGAAGAUUGGGGAGAUUCAGUACAUCUGACCACAAGAUCUUUAUUCUCACUAAAGUAUGAAGCUACAAUUGAAAAUUGCUCAUCAUCCCUUUUCCUCAGAAUUGACUCAAGCACACACACAGCUUUCAUGCGAACCUGCCACACAGGAGACUGGAGCUUAGAUUCAAGGGCAUGACUUAGGGCCAGUGCGUCCAGCUUUGCUGCCUCUAAUAGAAAAACCUGAAUAGCAUCACGAGUAGGUUGUAGACGUACACCACCAGAUGUUACAAUAGUCUCCAACAACCUCUCC